rnacentral:rRNA from 1 species
UACGUAGGGGGCUAGCGUUGUCCGGAAUCAUUGGGCGUAAAGCGCGUGUAGGCGGUCCGGUAAGUCCGCUGUGAAAGUCGAGGGCUCAACCCUCGAAUGCCGGUGGAUACUGUCGGGCUUGAGUACGGGAGAGGCGAGUGGAAUUCCCGGUGUAGCGGUGAAAUGCGCAGAUAUCGGGAGGAACACCAAUGGCGAAGGCAGCUCGCUGGGACGGUACUGACGCUGAGGCGCGAAAGCGUGGGGAGCAAACAGG